rnacentral:lncRNA from 1 species
CUGGUUCCUCGGGCACUCUCUGGCAUAAUGUUGGGCACUGCCACAAAUGUGACAAGUGUUGUUGAGGCGGUAGCAGGGUUGGUCCCCGUGAUCUCUGCCACAGUGUUGACAGAUCUUCCCACGUGCUGCCCCUGGAGCCUGAGGAGGGGCCUGGAUGGCUGGUCUGGGCCUCUUGUUUGGUUGGGCAGGCGCCGUGGGUACUGGCCUGCGGAACGGAGCUAAGGGUCGGGAACUCCCUCCUGGCUGAGGACGGUUGCUGAAGCUUCUUUCCACGAUCUGCGCCUUUGCUAGGACUGCUGAAUAGGUCUUGAGCUCCAAUACUACCAAGUGUUGCCUGAUCUCUGGGCGGAGACCUGAUUGGAAUCUCCUGGUCUUUCAGCCCUCAUCCAUCAAUGUCUCCGGGGAGUAUCGGCCCAGCUCUAGGAACUUACGAGCAUAUUCUGAUACUGUCAUGUUUCCCUGAACCAGUUGAACAAACUCCGUUUCUUUUAGGUGUCGGAUGUGCUCAGGGAGAUACUCUGCAUGGAAGGCCGCUAGGAACUACUCCCAAGUGACUGGUGUAGGCAAGGUGGCUUGCUUGAGCUCCCAC